ensembl:lncRNA
GUAGCUUUGAGGAUUUUUUUUUCAUGUUAAAUGCUAUGCAAUGCACUUUUACCUGUUAUUCAGUGAAGGUUUGUGCCAUCAGCUGCACAGAAGUGUGGUUCUGCCCAUAUCUCGCCACUAACGUGAGAAGUUAUACAUGGAUCUGUCUAUGAGCCUGGAACCCAGCCACUCUUUCUGGGAAACUGUGUGCCUAUGACUCAGUACACACAUACUUAUCUAUUAAUAUGUUUGCAGAAGCAGACCUCACAUCAUAAAAAAAUACUGCAGGCUAAUUCAACUAUUACUAAUUGUAUGGCCUAAAACCAAAUUGUUUAAUAUUUUGUUAAUAUGUGAAUAUAACAGGAUAUUUUAUCUUAAUGUACAUUGAUAAUGGUUCUUUUAUUGCUCCUUCAAGUUUCUGCUAGAAAGGAAUGGAACUGAAGGAAUUUUGUGGUCAUUAGAUGAAUCCAAUUCAUAGAUAUUUAAGAUAUUUGGUUAAAUUACAGUAAAUGUCUGAAGUAAUAGUUUUUGUAUGUCUGAUGUUAAGUUUGUCUCUCAUUUAAAGCUAAAUGCAUCUCAUUCCAGAAAGUACCGGAUUUCAGUAAAAAUACAAGGAUUCCAGUAAUGGUGCUGAAUAUUCCAAAUUCCCUUUGUUGAGUAUAUCGAUGCAGUCUCAGCUUUGAUCAAGUUCAAAAGGCAAACUGUGGCAAAUGGGAAGAAUUUGUCCUUUUCCUAGUGCUGUAGUUGUGUGAAGCACAUUUAGGAGUCCUGCAGUGCCCUGACGUUGCAGUUUGCAGCACCUGUGCAGACAUUUAUUGCUGAGUGCCUCAGCUCCAGGAGGCAAUCAUAUCCAGAGCUCUGCAGCUGGAUAUUCCCCUUCACAGGUGUUAGGAUGAGGGAGGACAGCCCCGGUGUACAAGAAGUGCAAGGAAGAGAGAUUCUGCCUCCUCUUCAGGAGCACAGAAAACAGAAAGGACAAACCAGGACUCCAAAGCCUGGUCAAAAUUGAGACUCUGCUGGCCAGCAGCCACCUUUACUGUUGAAAAUCUGCAGUCGUUGGCAAAAGGUCUGUCCUGCAGUCCAUUGAGUUCCUGCCAGUGGGAGACUUAAGGAAAGUACUGCUUCUCCUAAUGGUUGUUGCUACUGCAAGCAGACACGCUGUACCGUCUAGGGCCUGGGUGAAUGGUAAAUAGCCUGAAAGCUUCACUGACACCUCACAUACGAUAACCUAAUAACACAUCUUUGUUUUUCUCAUAGGUAUUUAAUCUCUGAUACAACAGCGAAGAUACUGCAGUGGUGUCAGCCUAUCUCAGGGCCAAAUUUUAUAUAUAUAUAUAUAUAUAUUUUUUUUUUUUCAGCUCAAGACUGAACAUAAUAAAUUCACUGCAGAGGUGCGUGCUCAUUUAAGUGUGUAAAAUACAGACCUUAACAAUUCAUAUUAAGUGAUUCAGUACUUGCAUCUCUGAGGUAGCAAUUUGCUAAUAAAUUUUGCAUACAAAAUAUGGAUCACCCAUUCAUUAUAUUUCAUCCAUUAUUCUAACUACCGUUAUCACUGUAUGGUUUUGUAACUGCUGAUAAAUGCACAAAGGGCACGUUAACAAAUUAAACUGCUUUGCAAUUAAGGUUGGGGCAAGCUGUCUAAUUUGUUGUACUCCAGCUGGGACAAAUCUGUUUAUGUCACUGCUCUUGUGUCAUGUCACCCAAACAUGCCUUCACUGAUACAUAAGGUUGUCAUCUAACAGCUGACACUUAGCUGCAGUUCUUGCUGCUGGCCACUUCGUGCUUUUAUCUCACUCAUAGUUGUAAUUACUAUGACAAGUGCAGGUUGUUUUGCAGUGACAGCGUUGGUUUUUUUUUCGUGACAGUGUUUAUUAUAUCUGUAAUAUGGCCAAGUCUGGGUCAGGUCCAUAGCAUUGGAAAUGAAAGCCAUUGGUAACCCUGGAGAUAUUAAUUUCAGCAAAAUAAGGUUAAGAAUUUGUAAUGAAAUAAAAUAGGAGGGAGGUAAGGUAAUAGGCAGAGUUAAAAGUACCAGUUCAGACAACAAUGUUUUUGAUGGAACUACUUCUAUGGGCAAAAAAAAGAAAAAGAGAGAAAGAAUAUGAUUACCAGGGAAUUGGAUGCAAGCAUCUGAAAGCUUGUAAAAGACAUACAACUGUUAAAGCCAAAGCAAAUGCUUUUGAUUCUAUCUCAACACAUUCCCUCCCCAAAUUACAUGUUAAAGCUUUCCUAAGAUGCAGCCAUGGCGAUUUUUGUGAAUAAACAAUAUGAUAUUAAAAUACAGAGGUUUUUCCUAGAGAUGAAGUAUUUUAAGUCCUGUACCCUUCUAAUUUUACUUCCUUGGCAUCUUCCUUAUUAAGAAACAGAAGUAAUGAAGGCUGUGAGAGUUAAGAGUUUUCAGUUCCAAACACGGUCUCAAGACUGUCGUCAACCUGUUCUACCAAAAUUGAUGUGCUAGAACUUCGAAAAGGAAGUCUACCUUUCCCCUCAACCCCUUCCAAACAGAGUGGCUAAGGCUCAUUUUUUAACAUGAGCAUUUCAGUGAAUGUUUACAUAUAUAUAGAAAAGUGAAAACUGAAGUGGACUGUUCAGUUUUGUGUUUUUGGAUUACAGGGUAGUAUUUCUCAAUGUUUUGAUAAUAUGCCAGCAUCACAUAAGAUGGAAAAAGUGCCCAUGGAACCAAAAUAAAAACCCGAUCACUUGUUCAAAGGGGAAACUACACGAGGCUCCC